ensembl:ncRNA lncRNA:CR44595 long non-coding RNA:CR44595
CAUAAUCAAAAAUCAAACACCAAUUUCAAAUACAUAUACAAUAUAUAUUUCUCGCUUUUUUGUUCCACCAUCAUCGCCAACUACAACUGCUAAUGACGACGACACCUUGGUCGAAACACAUGCUCCUGGGCCCCCGAUUCCAUCGUCAUCAUCGCUCUCUGGAUACUGGACAAAUCGAAAACAUCCCACUAAUUUUUCCAUAUAUGUCCAAAGUGGUACACAAACGGCAAACGGCAAAUCGGCUUUGAUUUGUGUGGCAAACUUGGCGCUUGUUAUACAGCAUUUUUGCGUCUCUUAAAUGCUGCAUUUUCCUCUGCAUUUGUUGCUCUUUAGUUUAAAUGGCUUAUAUGACUUAUAUAUGGGUUUGUAAAGAAGUCUAUAAAGAUGACAUUGUGUCUUGGCUCUUGAGUCUUGUAGAACAUCAUUGCAUUAAGCUUUCUUCAGGAAUUUUAGGUUUAAAAAUGGCUUAGCUUACGAUACUAUUUCUUCACAUUUUGCAGUUUAAGCUCUCAAUGAAUUAAAACUCUUAUCAAGUUUCCACUUCAAAAUUAAUAUUUCUUUAAAAUGCCUAUACCAAUUAAACGUGGCUUACAAAAUCCAACACCAGAACCCAAAAUAAAUUACAAUUCUUAUGUUGCCCAUAUCAGAUCUUUGUAUAUUGUAAUGUCUAAUGGCUUAUUUCCCACUUGUCAUAUCAAUAAUCUCGAUUGGAGCCUCACCUUCAUUACCUCAUCAAUUAUUUCAAGCAAAUGCAAUUCAAUUAGGAAGUGCAUUUAUAAUCACUCAAGUCGAACUGUAAACUCCAAUUUAAGUUGUUGAAUUAUAUUUUGAAGUAGAUUUCAAAUCAAGAAAUUGCCGUUGGCGCCAACAAGUCCAACAAAGGCGUUAAACUGUUGGAAAUCUUCCUGAAAUAAUUAACUAUUGAGCUGAAAAGCAAUUGAAAACACAAAAAGUGUUUUACAGAUGGAAAUCUCGAGCAAUUUUCAGACCCAGCAUAUCAUUUAUUACGGCCACCAAAAAAAAACCACUUGUAAUGCUUGAAUUUAUUUUCACAAUUCAAGGAGGCGUGUUUUUAGAGGGUGGGGCUAAGCUAAGUGAAAUCUAAUUGAAUAAACUUGUAUAAUAAAACCAAGCGAAUUAUAUAUUCAU